UACGUAGGGUGCGAGCGUUGUCCGGAAUUAUUGGGCGUAAAGAGCUUGUAGGCGGUUUGUCGCGUCUGCUGUGAAAAUCCGGGGCUCAACCCCGGACUUGCAGUGGGUACGGGCAGACUGGAGUGUGGUAGGGGAGACUGGAAUUCCUGGUGUAGCGGUGGAAUGCGCAGAUAUCAGGAGGAACACCGAUGGCGAAGGCAGGUCUCUGGGCCACUACUGACGCUGAGAAGCGAAAGCAUGGGGAGCGAAAGGG
rnacentral:rRNA from 1 species